GGGGUAAAAUUAAUUAAUAUAUAAUUAAUAAAAUUAAUUUUAAUUUAAAUAAUAUGAGGGGGUUAAAGUAUUAUUAAAAGAAAAAAUUAAUAAUUUUAUAGUAUAUUAGUAUUGUAAAUGAAUUUUGAAAUAAUUGAAAAUAAAUUUAUUAAGAAGUAAUUUUUAUUUAAUGUAUCUUGUGUAUCAGAGUUUAUUAAAAAUUUUUAAUUUAAUUUUAAUUUCUCGAAUUUAGAAGAGCUAAAUAAUUAAAAAAUUUAAUGUAAUAAAAUUAUUUUAAAUAAUUAUUUUGAAAUGAAAUGUUAGUCGGUUUUAAAUAUAUCUAGUUUUUUUAGAAAAAAAUUUAAUUUUAAAUUAAUUAUGCAAUAAACUUAAUUAAUAAUUUUUAUUGGGGGAUAAAUUUUAUAUUUUAAGGGAUAAGCUUUAAAAAUUAAAUUUUUAUAAUAAAAAUAUUUAGUUAUAUUGAGAAUUUUAUAAUUUAUAUUGUUAAUAAAUUGUAUUUUAUUAUAAAUAAUUUCAUAAAAAUUAAAAUUUAAAAUAAUUAUUUAAUUUUUUAUAAAAAAAUAAAUUUUAAUAAUAAAAAUUUAGUUAUAAUGAUAAAAUUAGUAUAUAAAGAUAUAAAUAAAUAUAAAUUUAUAAAUAAACUAAUUAAAAGGAAUUCGGCAAAAUUUUAUUUUUACUUGUUUAUCAAAAACAUGUCUUUUUGGGGUUUAUUUAAAGUCUAAUCUGCCCACUGAUUUUAAUUAAAGGGCUGCAGUAUUUUGACUGUACAAAGGUAGCAUAAUCAUUAGUCUCUUAAUUGGUGACUUGUAUGAAAGAUUGGAUAAAAAAUAUACUGUCUCUUAAUUAUUGUGUAGAAUUUAAUUUUUUAUUUAAAAAGAUAAAAUGAUUUAAAAAGACGAGAAGACCCUAUAGAGUUUUAUAAAUGUAUUUAUAAAUAGUUAUAUAUUUAAUUAAUUAAAAUGUUUAUAAAUUUAUUUAUUUUAUUGGGGUGAUAGAAAAAUAAAUUAAACUUUUUUAAAAUAUAAACAAAAAUAAGUGAUUUUUUGAUCCAAUUUUAUUGAUUAUAAGAUUAAAUUACCUUAGGGAUAACAGCGUAAUUAUUUUUUUUAGUUCUAAUAAGAAAAAUAGUUUGCGACCUCGAUGUUGGAUUAAGAUAAAAUUUAAGUGCAAAAGCUUAAAAUUUUUGAUCUGUUCGAUCAUUAAAAUCUUACAUGAUCUGAGUUCAAACCGGUGUGAGCCAGGUUGGUUUCUAUCUUUUAUAAUAUUAUAUAUUUUAGUACGAAAGGAUCAAAUAUUGUAAUUAAAUUAAUAAUUAUUUACUUGAAUUUUAUUAAAAAUAAAAAUAAAAUAUUGUUUGUUUAUUUUGUAUGCCUAGUAUACGUGCAUAUUGUACAUAUAUAUAUAUAUAUAAUUAAUUAUGUGUAUAAAUAUGU
rnacentral:rRNA from 1 species